rnacentral:rRNA from 1 species
UGGGGAAUUUUGGACAAUGGGGGCAACCCUGAUCCAGCCAUCCCGCGUGUGCGAUGAAGGCCUUCGGGUUGUAAAGCACUUUUGGCAGGGAAGAAACGGCGCGGGCGAAUAACCCGCGCAACUGACGGUACCUGCAGCAUAAGCACCGGCUAACUACGUGCCAGCAGCCGCGGUAAUACGUAGGGUGCAAGCGUUGUCCGGAUUUAUUGGGCGUAAAGCGCACGUAGGCGGCUUAGCAAGUCCCAUGUGAAAUCCCACGGCUUAACCGUGGAAGUGCAUGGGAAACUGCUGAGCUUGAGUACUUAAGAGGAUCGCGGAAUUCCCGGUGUAGAGGUGAAAUUCGUAGAUAUCGGGAGGAACACCAGUGGCGAAGGCGGCGAUCUGGGAAGAUACUGACGCUGAGGUGCGAAAGCGUGGGGAGCAAAC